rnacentral:lncRNA from 1 species
CUGCCAGUUGACAGCCAGAUAUAUGAUCUUGGCGUCCAUUCGCCCCGCUGGCCUCAGCCUUCCUGCUGUAAAAAGGGGGUUGACAGCAGGCUCCUUAAGACUGCCUCCACCUCUGCCCCCCGACCUUAGCUCAUCCUCCUCUAUUCCAUUAUCCCUGAAGCAUUUGCCUCCUCAUGUAUCUCCUUCCCAAAAGACAAGAUGGCUGGCAGCACGGAAGUGAAAAGGGAAAGAAAGGCUGUUUAAAAAAAAAAAAUUCUAAAAUGAGUCACCUUUCAAGAAUUUCCCAUUUCCUCAUGCCUGGGUGCUUCCUCGUGUCGCUAAAUCAGUUCUUCCAAUGAAACUUGAUCUAAGAACCUGGUAUUUGUUAUGUGCACUGCUCUUGGAUGAUGUUUACAAUGUGCACACAUCUCUUUUAAGAGCUUGUAGGUAUCAAACGACCUCCAGGUUGUGCAUCAAAAAGACAUCAGCAGCCACAGAGUCAACUUUAGUUGAGCCUGGAGAAAAUCAUACAAAACCGUAGAGUUUUAACUAGGUUUUGUAUCAUCUUUUGAUAAGUUAGGAAAAAUAAUUACAGCUCUCCAAACUUCCCACUUAACAACUCCCAGGACCCUGCAGCACCCUAAAAUCUAGCCAGCUCCAAGAAUCACUCUCUACUCCAUACCCGGAUGAGCCUUGACUCACACUAAUUCCCUCCCUGAGGCUUAAGUCAGGGGGCAGCUGAUGGUUGUGGUCUGUGCUGCUUCCGCCUGGCCUAUUUUUCAUGCUGCCAUUUUGAAUUAGCAUAGGUUUCCUCCGCAACUGAUGCAUCUUCUAACCAGGCUGGGAACACAACACGCGCACACGCGCACACACACACGCACGCACCCACCCCACCCGGCUGCCGGACGCAAGCGUAAGUCAAGGACUUGCAUGCUAGAAUCAGACAGAAAAUCCAGAAAAGCCACGUUAUUUAACAGAACCCUACAAGGUCAGCUUUGAGUCAAAGCAGGUAACAGUUUCCUUCGAUGUUUUCAUGGACAUUUUUAUUCCCAAAUCCGAGUUCUCGCCAAUUCUCUAAAGUUCAAGCGCCCCUCCUGCUUUGCAGACCACAUUUCUCUCGGCCCUCGCGAGUGAGGUCGCCAAAUACUCGACGCCUCAAGAGCGAGCCGAGGAGGCAGAGGCCGACCAAGCCGGCCUCUCGGCAGCCCCGCCCGGCGCCCCGCGGAGAACGCCCGGGUGCGGCUCGAGGGAAGUUGUGUCAAGUCCCACGCGCGGCCCGCGGAGAACCCAGGGGCGGCCCGCGCGCGUCGGCCUAGCGGGGAGGGCUGCUCCGGGACACGGUGCGGCGGCCGCGGGCGAGUUGGACGCGCUGGCAGAGCCGGGCCGAAGGCGGCGGGCGUCUCCGGGCAGCCAUGUUCGCGGCGCCCGCCCGCGCAGCAGGACGGAGCCCUGACAGCAAUGUUUGCUACGGCCUCCCUCUGCAGUCAGCCUAAAGCAAGGAGCUGGAGGUAGAUGAGGCAAAGGUAAAGGAGACCAAAACAGUAUUUUAAAGAAAAAAUCAUUUAUCUUCAAAUAGGCUCCAAACCUAAGAUGGUGUAUACUGUUAGAGGACAAGAACCUGCUUCUAGCCAUCUUUGCGUCUCCAGGACCUGACUUGUGACCAUUCAAUAAGAGUUUGAUAGAUGGACAGACUAAUGAAUAGAUGAAGAUGAUUAGAAGCCAAAAUUUCUGAAUCUUCCUAGCACCCAGAACAUGGCUUAACAUCAAGGAAAUGCUCACUAAAUACUGUCAUAAUGGAAUGAAUGGAACCGAUGCCUAAUUGAAAAUCAUUAGGCUGUAAACCAUUUCCAUGUUCCAAUUUCUUCGUUUAUAGAACAGAAAUGAUAGUGUAACCACCUGAAAAUCCUUCACCUAGACUUCCAAAACCACACCCACCUCAUCAAUGAAGUCUGACUCUCUAGAAAGAAGCAAAUGACUGAAAUCAUGGUCCUGUGCCUUGACCAAAAUACCAUUCGUCAGAACAAAAGAAGUAGGUCAGUGAAACGGCAUUAGUAUAUCCUUCAACAGGCAAAUAAGUGAUAGUGUAGUUUGCUUUUGAAGUCGCUGUGAAAAGUUUUAGGUGAACAUCACCUACACCACAUUAAAAAUGGAAUCAAGUCAUUUUCUUUAAGAAAUGGAGUUUGAGAUAUGAGAAUUCUUUUGGGCUUUUUCUACUUAUUGGCCAAUUAUACACCCAGAUAUAUUUCUGCAAUAUUUCAAAGAUUCUAGUUCUAAUUUGUAUAAUAAAAAAAAUUAACAGCCUUUUCCAGACCACAUGUUUCCAACAAGACCUUCAAAGGCCUCGCUCGCUAUAUAAAACUGGCUUUAAACAAUUUCCUUUCCCAAAGAAGGAAAUAAGAUAUUUCGGUUUUGUAAAAGAGGCAAAACCAGGUACAGGCCACCUUUCCUGCUGGAGAGCUGGCAUAAGUGAGUGGAUUCUUAAUUACUAUUUUACCUGCGGGGCAUAAUU